rnacentral:lncRNA from 1 species
GAGAACUUACCUCGCCUCAAUUCCUUCCUGCAGGUUAGCACAAUUUGUAUCACACAAUCUCAGGUAGUAAUAAUAAUUCAAACAAUUGGAACGCCAUCACUUUCAUAUAAAUCACGAUCGCACUUUGCACGCAUCCCAAUUAUUAUUCACUGCCACACAAUGGCAUAGCCUACUCGCGGGUCGGCUAUCUACUAACAUUACGGCAUUUCUAGAAGAAUGAAGGUCCAGUCGGUCCCGCCACUACUGCGACCAAGCCACGUCAUUCUAUCGACGGCAUUUCUAGAAGAACAAAGGUCCAGUCGGUCCCGCCACUACUGCGACCAAGCCACGUCAUUCUAUCGACGGCAUUUCUAGAAGAACAAAGGUCCAGUCGGUCCCGCCACUACUGCGACCAAGCCACGUCAUUCUAUCGACAGCAUUUCUAGAAGAACAAAGGUCCAGUCCGUCUCGCCACUACUGCGACCAAGCCACGUCAUUCUAUCGACGGCAUUUCUAGAAGAACAAAGGACGGUCUCGCCACUACUGCGACCAAGCCACGUCAUUCUAUCGACGGCAUUUCUAGAAGAACAAAGGUCCAGUCGAUCUCGCCACUACUGCGACCAAGCCACGUCAUUCUAUCGACGGCAUUUCUAGAAGAACAAAGGUCCAGUCGGUCUCGCCAC